rnacentral:rRNA from 1 species
AUGCCGGCGCCGUUCACCGCCAGUGCCUCUCCUGCCACCUCCUCCGCCGCAUCACCUCGCCACGCACCACCGCCACCACCUCCCAUUCCUCCUCACCGUUUCCUCCGCCCGCUCCCGUCUGUGGUGGCGCUGCCACCCACUAUUUAUUCCCCUUCCCAGCUGAUGUGCGUCACAAGAAGGUCAAAUCCGAACCUCUCCUCGAGAAACUCCAUGCCGUCUGCUGCUGGAGAGCCACCAACGAUCUCCACACCCACCCUCCCCUCCCACCACACAAGUGUUGACAUUGUUCCUUCCCCACCGUCCUCGUCAUCCCUCAUUCAGCAUCGCCAUGACAGCUCGUCUCUCCAAGUUCAUCUACCUCUCCACACCCAACCCCCUUGUCCAUCCGGGAUCACGCCGCUGCUGUCUGCCUUGAAAGGCCACCGUGGCCGUUCUUUGCUCCCCCACCCUUUCCUCCGUCUGAGCACUGCUGUCACCACUCUUCUCCGUGGCGGCGUUUCCUUGAAGGUCGCCGUCCACAGACGAAGGUCGUCAUCCAUGGUCUCCGCCACCUCCAGGAAGGACAUUGCUGCUGUUUCUCUGCAAGCGUCCACUGAUCAGAGAGGAAUGUCAGCAAGGGGGUAG